rnacentral:rRNA from 1 species
CAGUCGCCACGGUAAUACGUAGGUGGCAAGCGUUGCCCGGAAUUAUUGGGCGUAAAGGGCUCGCAGGCGGUUUCUUAAGUCUGAUGUGAAAGCCCCCGGCUCAACCGGGGAGGGUCAUUGGAAACUGGGAAACUUGAGUGCAGAAGAGGAGAGUGGAAUUCCACGUGUAGCGGUGAAAUGCGUAGAGAUGUGGAGGAACACCAGUGGCGAAGGCGACUCUCUGGUCUGUAACUGACGCUGAGGAGCGAAAGCGUGGGGAGCGAACAGGAUUAGAUACCCCAGUAGUCCCUGUCUCUUAUAU